rnacentral:rRNA from 1 species
UACGUAGGGGGCAAGCGUUGUCCGGAUUUAUUGGGCGUAAAGAGCGUGUAGGCGGCCUUACAGGUCAGCUGUGAAAACUCGAGGCUCAACCUCGAGACGUCGAUGGAAACCGUAUGGCUAGAGUCCGGAAGAGGAGAGUGGAAUUCCUGGUGUAGCGGUGAAAUGCGCAGAUAUCAGGAAGAACACCCGUGGCGAAGGCGGCUCUCUGGGACGGUACUGACGCUGAGGAGCGAAAGCGUGGGGAGCGAACAGG